rnacentral:misc_RNA from 1 species
GAUGAAGAACGCAGCGAAAUGCGAUAAGUAAUGUGAAUUGCAGAAUUCCGUGAAUCAUCGAAUCUUUGAACGCACAUGGCGCCUUCCAGUAUCCUGGGAGGCAUGCCUGUCCGAGCGUCGUUUCAACCCUCGAGCCCCCGUGGCCCGGCGUUGGGGAUCUGCCACGGCAGGCCCCUAAAACCAGUGGCGGACCCGAAGGCCCUCUCCUUUGCGCAGUAGCAUCAGCCUCGCAUUGGGAUCCCUCGGCGUCCUGCCUCUAAACCCCCCACAAGUCCGCUCCGGCGGCACCAAGGUUGACCUCGGAUCAGGUAGGAAUACCCGCUGAACUUAAGCAUAUCAAUAAGCGGAGGA